AUGGAGGGUCCUAGCCGGCCGCAUUCUCCACCCCUUCUCUUGUACAUGCGGGAUCUCGCUGCUGCUGCCACCGCCGCCGCGGUGGCCCUUGACGACGGCGAGGUAGGAGGCGUGCUGGAUGCCCAAAUGCAGAUCCCAUCUCUUCUUGUUCUAUGCCGGGCAGACCGCGACCACGGCAAGAGGAAGGAGGCACGACGGGCUGGACGACAAGGUGGAGAACCCGGACACGGAGGGGCGCCAGAUCUUGCCUCGGGGUCUCCUGAUCUAGCCAUACUGUCGCCGGAUCUCCCCCCUCUCCCUCUCUCUGUGUUUUUCUGUCAGUAG
rnacentral:rRNA from 1 species